rnacentral:rRNA from 1 species
GACGAACGCUGGCGGCGUGCUUAACACAUGCAAGUCGAACGGAAAGGCCCUGCUUUUGUGGGGUGCUCGAGUGGCGAACGGGUGAGUAACACGUGAGUAACCUGCCCUCGACUUUGGGAUAACUUCAGGAAACUGGGGCUAAUACCGGAUAGGAGCUCCUGCUGCAUGGUGGGGGUUGGAAAGUUUCGGCGGUUGGGGAUGGACUCGCGGCUUAUCAGCUUGUUGGUGGGGUAGUGGCUUACCAAGGCUUUGACGGGUAGCCGGCCUGAGGGGGUGACCGGCCACAUUGGGACUGAGAUACGGCCCAGACUCCUACGGGAGGCAGCAGUGGGGAAUAUUGCACAAUGGGCGGAAGCCUGAUGCAGCAACGCCGCGUGCGGGAUGACGGCCUUCGGGUUGUAAACCGCUUUCGCCUGUGACGAAGCGUGAGUGACGGUAAUGGGUAAAGAAGCACCGGCUAACUACGUG